GCGCCGGGGUGGAAGGCGAACAUCGCUGCCCGGAAAGCAGAAGAUGCGGGUUCGAGUCCCGCCUGGUGCA
rnacentral:tRNA from 1 species